rnacentral:lncRNA from 1 species
CCAGACCUUCGGCUUUGAGAUCCAGACUUAUGGCCUUCACCACCGGGAGGAGCAGCGUGUGGAAAUGGUGACCUUUGUCUGCCGAGUUCAUGAGUCUAGCCCUGCCCAGCUGGCUGGGCUCACACCAGGUGGGGCCUGAGCCCAGGACACCCAGGUCUGGGAAGGGGAUAUGACCUUACUCCCAAGCAAAGGGGGUGAGCAAUCUCUCCUGAAAUCAAUUCCUCUUCCUUUUCCUUCUUUGAGAAGGCCAGAAAGAAGAAUGGAUAGAAUCUGGGCUUUGGAUCUAGGCAAAUUUGCCAUGUACUGUGUGAUCUUGCACAGCCCCAUCUACAAAAUGAGGGUAAUAAUGCAUCCAAACAUCACAGUGCGGCAAGGGGAUUCCCUGGGCACACUGCCAGGGCCUAAUUAAUGGUGGAUGAUGCUGCUGCUGCUCUGAUUCCUCCCAGCAACCCUGGCAGUCAGCAUGGGCAGGAGCCAGGGAAGAAGCAACAUUCCAUUAAGUCUGUUUGAUAUUGGGGAUCAGGCCAAUCCUGCCCCAAAAUGGGCCCAGUGCUGAGGAACCGAUGUUACUCCCUUUUAAAAAAUUAGAAACUUUUUUUUUUUUUAAGAGACAGGGCCUCAGUCUGUCACCCAGGCUAGAGUGCAGUGGCGUAAUCAUAACUCACUAUAACCUUGAACUCCUGGGCUCAAGCGAUCCUCCUCUUGCCUCUGCCUCCCAAAGCAAUAUGUUACUUCCUCUAACAAGGAAAUUAUGCUUCAGCAGGAGAUCCCUGGAUUGAGCAGAUCUAGAGUCCCCAGGUUCCAGGAAGGGCAGCCUGAAACUGUAUGAAUCAAUCCCCCCUCCACCAUCUUUGCCCCUAAGCCCCUACCUCCUUCCCACUUACCAGCAGCCCGUGCUAGCUAUCUUAGUCCAUUUUCUGUUACCAUAACAGAAUACCUGAUACUGGGUAAUUAUAAAGAAAAGAGGUUUAUUUAGCUCAUGGUUCUGGAGGCUGGGAAGUUCAAGACUGGGUGGCCGCAUCAGGUGAGGGCCUCAUGCUGCGUUCUGACAUGAUGGAUGGCAUCUCAUGGCAGGAACGCCUGCAAGAGUGGUGAGUAGGCACACGCAAAAGAGACAAAACAUGGGUGAUCUUGCUUUAUAGCAACCCACUCGCCAGGUAACUAAACCAGUCCUACCAGAGCAAGAACUCACUCCCCAAAAACAGCAUGGAUCCCUUCACUGGGCAGAUCCUUCAUGGCCCAAAUGCCACUUUUUUUGAGAUGGAGUUUCGCUCUUGUUGCCCAGGCUGGAGUGCAAUGGCAUGAUCUCAGCUCACUGCAGCCUCUGCCUCCCAGAUUCAAGCAAUUCUCCUGCCUCAGCCUCCCGAGUAGCUGGGAUUACAGGCACUGGCCACCAAGCCCAGCUCAUUUUUGUAUUUUUAGUAGAGAUGGGGUUUUGCCUUGUUGGCCAGGCUGGUCUCGAACUCCUGACCUCAGGUGAUCCACCCGCCUCGGCCUCCCAAAGUGCUGGGAUUACAGGUGUGAGCCACGGCGCUCGGCCCCAAAUGCCUCUUAAAGGUCCUACCAUCUCUCAGCACUGUUACGUUGGGGAUGAAGCCUCAACAUGAGUUUUGGGGACAAACAAUAUUUAAAUGGUAGCAGUAGCCAAGUGGUAUACUACAACUUCUCAAAGUAGUUUCAAAUCCACUCUCCCUCCCCAUCAUCCCUGAAGCAUCCACAGCAGGGAUCCAUACCCCUUUUUACAGAUAGGAAUGGGGCCCUGACAUGGGGCACACUGUGCUUGAGGUCAGGAAGCUCUCCAGUGGUGCAGGGUAGCAGAACUAUCCCUCUGGGGGCCAGUCAUUCCCUGUGCUUCUCUCCCACCACCAGAGGCUGGACUGAUUAUCUGUGGAUCCAUGAGGCCAUGCCAUGCCUGGGGCCAGGGUCGGUUCCCAGCUGGGUGCUGCUCACCUGCUCUUCCCUGAAUUGACUGGGUCUUAUGGCCAGCGUGGACUGGACAGAAAUAACCAAAUCUGAGGGUAGCCCAGGGUCCUGGGUGGGCUUAGCUUUGGGACAGAACUUCUUUUUUUUUUUUUUUUUUUUGAGACGGAGUCUCGCUCUGUCGCCCAGGCUGGAGUGCAGUGGCGCGAUCUCGGCUCACUGCAAGCUCCGCCUCCCGGGUUCACGCCAUUCUCCUGCCUCAGCCUCCCGAGUAGCUGGGACUACAGGCGCCUGCUACCACGCCCGGCUAAUUUUUUGUAUUUUUAGUAGAGACGGGGUUUCACCGUGUUAGCCAGGAUGGUCUCGAUCUCCUGACCUCGUGAUCCGCCCGCCUCGGCCUCCCAAAGUGCUGGGAUUACAGGCGUGAGCCACCGCGCCCGGCCGGACAGAACUUCUUGAGGGCAGAGUGAGGGUGUUGGGUGUGUGAGGUCCCCACCCUUUGGCUGGGGUGCUGGGCGUGGACAACCUGGUAGUCACUACAGGCCCACAAGAAUGGCUGUGGUUCUGUGUGUUUGGAUCGAGUAUGAGAGAUGUCAGAGGAGAUCUACAGAGAACCAUGAGGAGUUGGAGGAGGGAGUUCAGGAGUAUUCCCUGGAGUUACUACCCACCCUUCUCCCCUUUCUGGCUAAGGUAGGAGGCUGGUAUUCUAGCAUGCCCCAUGGAGCAAAUCUAACCCCCUUGUCUGCCUGGCAGGGGACACCAUCGCCAGCGUCAAUGGCCUGAAUGUGGAAGGCAUCCGGCAUCGAGAGAUUGUGGACAUCAUUAAGGCGUCAGGCAAUGUUCUCAGACUGGAAACUCUAUAUGGGACAUCAAUUCGGAAGGCAGAACUGGAGGCUCGUCUGCAGUACCUGAAGGUAGGGGAACCUAGAUAACGUCCAGCCUCCACCCUCCUCUUCCCAAGCCUCUGCCCUGUGGGGGGUCACUUACAGCUGAAUCUCCUGUAACUGAAGAUUUCUUUUGUCUACUCCCUGAUCCCUCGUCUGUACCCACGUCCUGCUAGUUUCCUGCUAGCUUGUGACAGUGGGGUGGGGACUGUCUCUUGCAGCAAACCCUGUAUGAGAAGUGGGGAGAGUACAGGUCCCUAAUGGUGCAGGAGCAGCGGCUGGUGCAUGGUGAGUAGAUCCCGGGGUGUGAGGGGCCACUUGUUCUGCUACAGACACCCCAUCUGCGCUUCCCCCUCAGAACUGGCGGGUUCUAGUAAAGAACGGUUUACUAGUAAACCUCCACAGUAAAGCAAGGUUUGUUGAGCUACUACUACUUUGGGUACUGCCGCAGCCACAUUUCUGGUUAUUCUCACACUAGCCCUCUGCAGGUAAGUAACAGAUAGUGUCAUCUUCACUUUACAGAGGGGAACACCAGGGCUCAAAGAGUUUGUGUCAAUUAUUUCCGAGGCCCGUUUGUGCUAAGCGGCCCCCAUAAGGAUCUGAGUGAUAAUUCCUGAU